GACCCCGUAGCUCAGUGGUAGAGCGUGAGAUUCCAGUUCUCUGGAGUUUCCUCAAGGUCAUCCGUUCAAUCCGGGUCGGGGUCA
rnacentral:tRNA from 1 species